UAUCAACUUCACGAAUAGUUCUCUCUUGAUUACUUGUUCUUGACUGUUAACUUUUGCAGCCUUGUGGAGAGAUAAACUAAUGAAGCUUCAAGUAAAUCAAAGGCGUAACCAUUAGGCAAAUCGGAAGGAUUCUCUUGUACAAAAGAAAGUGCCUACCGAUCCCAAGUACUUGGUCGUGAUGGUGGCAUGUUUCCAGACUUCACUCGGGGGACCCUGAAAAUUGACUGGGGUAAAAAGGCAUGGGGGAUCAAAUGCAGGUCGAAGGGCGGUUAAAGUAAGUUUCUGAGUUCUAGAAAAUUGAGGCAGCUCCGAAAUGUACAGCUUUGGGUUAGAUGAGUGCCGCCUCUAACUUGACUCCACAAUCAUGUAUGCCCGCCUCCUUUUAUACUACAGAGCACCAUUAUUACUUGGAAGUACCGAUCGUACUCAAAUCACAUAGUUAAACAUGUAUCGUCCCAAAAUACGACCGAUAUGUUAUACCACAUCAGUUGAAUGCUAAUGUCUGUGUACAUACAUGUAAAUGCUCUCAUUAUUUAGCAAAGUGUUGGAUAAGUUAAGGAUGUGUGGCUUUCGAAGUUUGAACUCUGCUUGUAGGAAUUCAUAUUUGUCAGUUUCA